AGGGGUUUGAUCCUGGGGCUCAGAACGAACGCUGGCGGCGCGCCUAACACAUGCAAGUCGAACGAGAGGCCGUAGCAAUACGGUAGUACAGUGGCGAACGGGUGAGGAAUACAUGGGUGACCUACCCUCGAGCGUGGAAUAACCCGCCGAAAGGCGAGCUAAUACCGCGUACGCUUCUCCGUCUACGGGCGGGGAAGGAAAGCUGUUCCUUGGGGAUGGCGCUCGAGGAGGGGCUCAUGCCCUAUCAGCUAGUUGGUAGGGUAACGGCCUACCAAGGCAACGACGGGUAGCUGGUCUGAGAGGACGAUCAGCCACACUGGCACUGCGACACGGGCCAGACUCCUACGGGAGGCAGCAGUGAGGAAUAUUGCGCAAUGGGCGAAAGCCUGACGCAGCGACGCCGCGUGGGGGAUGAAGGUCUUCGGAUUGUAAACCCCUUUCGGGUGGGAAGAUGGCGCUCGACAACUGAGCGUGGACGGUUCCACCAGAAGGCAGCCACGGCUAACUUCGUGCCAGCAGGCCGCGGUAAUACGAAGGGUGGCAAGCGGUUGUUUCGGAUUUACUGGGCGUUAAAGAGACCGUUAGGCGGGUUCGGUUCGCCCUUGGUGGGGAAAAGCUCCCGGCUCCACCGGGUAAAGGUCCCAGGGGACAGCCCAAUUUGAGGAUGGGAAAAGGAACC
rnacentral:rRNA from 1 species